AGUGAACGCUGGCGGUAGGCCUAACACAUGCGAGUCGAACGGCAGCACAGUAAGAGCUUGCUCUUACGGGUGGCGAGUGGCGGACGGGUGAGGAAUACAUCGGAAUCUACUUUUUCGUGGGGGAUAACGUAGGGAAACUUACGCUAAUACCGCAUACGACCUACGGGUGAAAGCAGGGGAUCUUCGGACCUUGCGCGAUUGAAUGAACCGAUGUCGGAUUAGCUAGUUGGCGGGGUAAAGGCCCACCAAGGCGACGAUCCGUAGCUGGUCUGAGAGGAUGAUCAGCCACACUGGAACUGAGACACGGUCCAGACUCCUACGGGAGGCAGCAGUGGGGAAUAUUGGACAAUGGGCGCAAGCCUGAUCCAGCCAUACCGCGUGGGUGAAGAAGGCCUUCGGGUUGUAAAGCCCUUUUGUUGGGAAAGAAAAGCAGCAGGUUAAUACCCCGCUGUUCUGACGGUACCCAAAGAAUAAGCACCGGCUAACUGCGU
rnacentral:rRNA from 1 species